UACGUAGGGUGCAAGCGUUGUCCGGAAUUAUUGGGCGUAAAGAGCGUGUAGGCGGCCAUACAGGUCAGCUGUGAAAACUCGAGGCUCAACCUCGAGACGUCGGUUGAAACCGUUUGGCUAGAGUCCGGAAGAGGAGAGUGGAAUUCCCGGUGUAGCGGUGAAAUGCGCAGAUAUCGGGAAGAACACCCGUGGCGAAGGCGGCUCUCUGGGACGGUACUGACGCUGAGACGCGAAAGCGUGGGGAGCGAACAGG
rnacentral:rRNA from 1 species